GACGAACGCUGGCGGCGUGCUUAACACAUGCAAGUCGAACGGAAAGGCCCUGCUUUUGUGGGGUGCUCGAGUGGCGAACGGGUGAGUAACACGUGAGUAACCUGCCCUUGACUUUGGGAUAACUUCAGGAAACUGGGGCUAAUACCGGAUAGGAGCUCCUGCUGCAUGGUGGGGGUUGGAAAGUUUCGGCGGUUGGGGAUGGACUCGCGGCUUAUCCGCUUGUUGGUGGGGUAGUGGCUUACCAAGGCUUUGACGGGUAGCCGGCCUGAGAGGGUGACCGGCGACAAUGGGACUGAGGUACGGCCCAGACGCGUACGGGAGGCAGGAGGGGGGAAUAUUGCAGAAUGGGCGGAAGCCUGAGGCAGCAACGCCGCGUGCGGGAUGACGGCCUUCGGGUUGUAAACCGCUUUCGCAUGUGACGAAGCGUGAGUGACGGUAAUGGGUAAAGAAGCACCGGCUAACUACGUG
rnacentral:rRNA from 1 species